rnacentral:rRNA from 1 species
GCCCGCGGUAAAACGGUACGUCCCCAAGGCGUAAUCCGGAUCUAUUGGGCGUAAAGCGAGCGCAGGCCGGUUAUUUAAGUCUGAUGUGAAAGCCUACGGCUCAACCCGUAGAAUUGCAUCGGAAACUGGAUGACUUGAGUGCAGUAGAGGAGAGUGGAACUCCAUGUGUAGCGGUGAAAUGCGUAGAUAUAUGGAAGAACACCAGAGGCGAAGGCGGCUCUCUGGACUGUAACUGACGCUGAGGCUCGAAAGUGUGGGUAGCAAACAGGAUUAGAUACCCUGGUAGUCCACACCGUAAACGAUGAAUGCUAGUUGUUAGAGGGUUUCCGCCCUUUAGUGACGCAGCUAACGCAUUAAGCAUUCCGCCUGGGGAGUACGACCGCAAGGUUGAAACUCAAAGGAAUUGACGGGGGCCCGCACAAGCGGUGGAGCAUGUGGUUUAAUUCGAAGCAACGCGAAGAACCUUACCAGGUCUUGACAUCUUUCGCUAUCUUAAGAGAUUAAGAGUUCCCUUCGGGGACGGAAUGACAGGUGGUGCAUGGUUGUCGUCAGCUCGUGUCGUGAGAUGUUGGGUUAAGUCCCGCAACGAGCGCAACCCUUAUCAUUAGUUGCCAGCAUUAAGUUGGGCACUCUAAUGAGACUGCCGGUGAUAAACCGGAGGAAGGUGGGGAUGACGUCAAAUCAUCAUGCCCCUUAUGACCUGGGCUACACACGUGCUACAAUGGAUGGUACAACGAGUCGCAAACUCGCGAGGGUAAGCUAAUCUCUUAAAGCCAUUCUCAGUUCGGAUUGUAGUCUGCAACUCGACUACAUGAAGUCGGAAUCGCUAGUAAUCGCGGAUCAGCACGCCGCGGUGAAUACGUUCCCGGGCCUUGUACACACCGCCCGUCACACCAUGAGAGUUUGUAACACCCAAAGUCGUGUGGGGUAACCUUCGGGAGC